AGAGAGAGAGUUCAAGAGUACGUGAAACUGCUUAGAGGUUAAGCCUGAUGAACCUGAAUAUCCAUUAUGGAAAAUUCAGCUUUAUGAUUGUUGUAUAGUCAAAUAUACAGCAAGAAUAUUGUGCACUUUUUCCAUAUAAGGACAUUGUAAUCUAUUAGUAUAAAUUUAUUUAUCAUAAGGUUAUUGGCUUUAGUUUAUUCAAAUUAAUUUACUUCGGUUUAUUAACAUAGAAUAAAUGCUGAUAAUUUUGAUAAAGUAUUGAUAGAUUAAUUAUAUACAAUGCUUAAAUUCUUYKGAAUUUUAUAAUAGCUUGAAGAUCUUGAUCUUUGAGUUUAUUAUAUGCAUUUGUAUGAUUGACAAUGCGAAAGAUUCAGGAUACCUUCAGGACCCGUCUUGAAACACGGACCAAGGAGUCUAACAUAUGUGCAAGUCAUUGGGAAUUAUAAAACCCAAAGGCGAAAUUAACUUAACUGUUUUAUGGGAUUAGUUUUUAGUCUAUUUUAGUCUAUUAAUUCAAUCCCGGGGCGUUCUAUCAGUUAUGUAUAAUAGUAUUUAUAUUAUUUAUACCUCUAACUAGAGCGUACCUUGAGCAUAUAUGCUGUGACCCGAAAGAUGGGUGAACUAA
rnacentral:rRNA from 1 species